UCUCUCAGCCGAAACUCCCAUGAGCGAAAUGAAGCCCUAGGUUAUAAUUUCGCAAUUUUGAUCCAAACCAAGAAAAGUUUCUCCCUAAACUUUCGAUUUUGGUCUUCAAUACUGUGAUUCAUCCGUUUUAACAGUAGUAAUCGUGUUUAUACUUUCAGAUUUCAUGGAGAAAUCUGAUUUUUGGAGUUCAUUUAGAAUGUCGAAGGGUUAGGGUUUCGAAAUUAGAUCAUCAUCGAAGGUCGGCAAUUUGUGAAAAUGUGUUUACAAAGACGGAGGAAGUACCAAAAUUGUUGUAUAUUGUUGUAUUCAAAGAAUUUGACAAAGAAGAAGAAUCAGAAAGCGGGGAAAACAACUGAUAAUCUGUUUCGAUAUACAAGGGUUGUGUUACAGAGUACUCUAUAACUCAUGGGUUGCGAAGCUGGACAUGCUUCUAAGACUUGUCAAACUCCGAUUCGUCCAAUUACACCUAGCAGUCUUUUAAUUCAAUCUGCUGGUCAAUAUCUGAGCCAACUUCAUCUGCUUAUAUCUUCACAGACUCUUCUGGAACGAAAGAUUUUAAUGAACAACACACCUCCAUGUUCUUUGAUGCAAGAGCAUAAGGAAAGGAAUCAGAAACUACAUUUGAGCAUUUCUCUCCUCCUCUAAGAGAAAGGUACCAUCUUUGGUAAUUCUAGAGAAAAUAAUAGCAGCUUUGAAGAACCAAUCUGGACCUCGAGGUUUAUCCAAAAAUACAUUCUUUAAGGUAGUGGGAGAUCAUGGUCAAACCUUAAAUGGCGAUCAUGAAGGAGGGACCAUAGAAGAGGUUUUAUGGGAUCUUUUGUAUGCAGGGGUAAAACAGAGAACUUCACAUUGGUGUUUGUCGUUCAAUCACAGAAUGCUUCAUGUAUUAUAUCUUGUCAUAGCAUGCAACUUGGUGUACUUGCCACUUACAUCUCUCGUUAUAUCUACUGGGAUCAUGUCCAACACGUAUUAGCGGCCCAGGUCAGAAGUACUAAAUACUCAUUUAUUCUUGUUGGAAUUUGACUUUGGUUGGUGAUACUUGUUGUUGCGACAUGGUUUUACAGACUGGAUUAGGAAUGGAUGAGGUGUUUGCAACAAGUCACAUUGCUUCUUCAGACCAAGGAAGCAACGACGCAUCUAAAAAGAUGGGAUGCAAAAAACCUUGGUACUCCUGGUUUGAGUGAGCUUUGCCCAUCUCCUUCUGAUGUAAAUGAUCAGUAUUGGUACUCCUGGUACGCGUAGACUUUGCCCAUCUUGUUCUGAUGUAAAGGAUGGAAAUCUAGGAAUUGGUCUUUCUCCAAAAAAGGUGAGGGUCCUAACUGAAGGGUAUAAAAUGUUUUCCAAAUAAGCUCGAUAUGACCUAUGCUAUUCUAAACUUACAGGAACAUUGUAGCUUAUACGUAGCUUGAGGGACAUGAUUUUCUGUUCACUUUGUAUGGUCUUAUUUGUGGCAUUAUCUAUGCUAUAUUAUUAUCCUAAUUAUAUCACUUAUGGUUUUUCAAGGUGUUCUUAUUUCAAAAGGUAGCUGUUUGCAGAGUGUAACAUGGUCAGUAAGCCUGCAGUAGUAACUCGUGUUGUCGACAGCAUGAAAGAAAACCUCAGACCAACAUGCCAAAGCAACUAAUGUGGCUUAUGCUGUAUUGGAUGAUAUGGUUUUUAGCACAAGAUACCAGCUCAUCAGAUAUUGAGUUUUUCAAAGUUCUGAUAUAAUCUGCAAUGCUUGACAGCAGUUGAACCUAAUUUUGUUUCUCUCUUUUGAAUUGGCUUAGGUACCAACUCAAUUCUUCUAGGUGCUGAGACUCCUAAUCAGUUCUAUUAGGUCCAUCUCCAUAGAGGAAUCACCCCUCAAACAGAAUGGGAUAACAUAGUCGAUUGUGUUAAUGGAUGAACAAAGCUUAGGGAGUGGGUUGCGCACGUCGAGCUUGGUCUUCUCAUUACCUUUGUUUCUAUGCCCGAGGGUGAGAACAAUCUCAAGCAAAUACAUUUCAGGUUGUUCGGUACACACAGAAUUGAUUUCCCCCCUGAAGCUGGACUAAGUUUCCUUUCCUGUUCUUUUGGUUGAUGACUGUUAUUGCCCCUUUUGGAACAUAAUUUGCAACUUGAAAUUGCAUUUACAGUAGAACUAUUAUUCAUGUAAUGAGAUUUAAAUCAGUAUGUUUGGUAUUUAAAUUGAUAGACUCAGCAGACUCAGUACAGGUUUAGUGUAUACUUUGAUCUGAUGUCGUGAGACUUAGAAAUGUGUAAUUUUUCUAUUGGUUUGUGAUUCAGAAAUGAAUAUGGUUCAGACAUUAAAUGAA